AUCAGGAUGGCCGAGUGGUUAAGGCGUUGGACUUAAGAUCCAAUGGAUAUGUGUCGCGUGGGUUCGAACCCCACUCCUGGUA